UCGCACCUACCGAUUGAACGUUCCGGUGAAAUCUUGGGAGUGUGGUUUGUUUCCUUUAUUGGAUCUUACCGUAUAAACAUGCUUAAACCUUAACGUUUAGAGGAAGGUG
rnacentral:rRNA from 1 species